rnacentral:rRNA from 1 species
CCCUACGGGAGGCAGCAGUGAGGAAUAUUGGGCAAUGGGCGCAAGCCUGACCCAGCGACGCCGCGUGGGCGAAGAAGGCCUUCGGGUCGUAAAGCCCUUUUCUGCCGGACGAGCGAGGACGGUACGGCAGGAAUCAGUCACGGCUAACUACGUGCCAGCAGCCGCGGUAAAACGUAGGUGGCAAGCGUUAUCCGGAAUCACUGGGCGUAAAGGGCAUCUAGGCGGUCACGCAAGUUGCGUGUGAAAGCCUCCGGCUCAACCGGGGGAGGACAUGCAAAACUGCGCGGCUGGAGGGUCGGAGAGGGACGCGGAAUUCCCGGUGUAGUGGUGAAAUGCGUAGAGAUCGGGAGGAACACCCGUGGCGAAGGCGGCGUCCUGGCCGACACCUGACGCUGAAGUGCGAAAGCGUGGGGAGCAAACGGGAUUAGAUACCCCGGU